GAGUUUGAUCAUGGCUCAGGAUGAACGCUGGCGGCGUGCCUAAUACAUGCAAGUCGAGCGAACGGACGAGAAGCUUGCUUCUCUGAUGUUAGCGGCGGACGGGUGAGUAACACGUGGAUAACCUACCUAUAAGACUGGGAUAACUUCGGGAAACCGGAGCUAAUACCGGAUAAUAUUUUGAACCGCAUGGUUCAAAAGUGAAAGACGGUCUUGCUGUCACUUAUAGAUGGAUCCGCGCUGCAUUAGCUAGUUGGUAAGGUAACGGCUUACCAAGGCAACGAUGCAUAGCCGACCUGAGAGGGUGAUCGGCCACACUGGGAACUGAGACACGGUCCAGACUCCUACGGGAGGCAGCAGUAGGGAAUCUUCCGCAAU
rnacentral:rRNA from 1 species